GCUGGGUGUGGUGGUGCAUGCCUGUAAUCCCAGCUACUUGGGAAGUUGAGGCAGGAGAAUUGCUUGAACCCAGGAGGUGGAAGUUGCAGUAAGCUGAGAUCACGCCACUGCACUCCAGCCUGGGUGACAGAGCAAGACUCUGUCUCAA
rfam:Homo sapiens chromosome 7, GRCh38 reference primary assembly.